rnacentral:rRNA from 1 species
UACAGAGGGUGCGAGCGUUGUCCGGAAUCACUGGGCGUAAAGGGCGCGUAGGUGGCUUGGUAAGCGUGUGGUGAAAGUCCGGGGCUCAACCCCGGAUCUGCCAUGCGAACUGCUGAGCUUGAGCAAUGUAGAGGCAGGUGGAAUUUCGGGUGUAGCGGUGGAAUGCGUAGAUAUCCGAAAGAACACCAGUGGCGAAGGCGGCCUGCUGGGCAUUAGCUGACACUGAGGCGCGACAGCGUGGGGAGCAAACAGG